rnacentral:rRNA from 1 species
GCUCCCAAUCAUCUACCCCACUUCGACGGCUGGCUCCUUGCGGUUACCCCACCGGCUUCGGGUGUUGUAAACUCUCGUGGUGUGACNGGCGGUGUGUNCAANACCCGGGAACGUAUUCACCGCGGCAUGCUGAUCCGCGAUUACUAGCAAUUCCGACUUCAUGCAGGCGANUUGCAGCCUGCAAUCCGAACUGAGACCGACUUUGAUAGGAUUGGCUCCGCCUCGCGGNUUCGCUUCCCGUUGUAUCGGCCAUUGUANUACGUGUGUANCCCANGUCAUAAGGGGCAUGAUGAUUUGACGUCAUCCCCACCUUCCUCCGGUUUGUCCCNGCAGUCAUCCUAAAAUUUCCCCCCNUAAAUUUCUGGCANCUAAAAUCAAGGGUUNCCCNCCUUGCGGGGAAUUAACCCACCUUCUCCNACCAAGCUAACAAAAACCUUGCCCC